rnacentral:rRNA from 1 species
UGGCGAACGGGUGAGUAACACGUGGGUGAUCUGCCCUGCACUUCGGGAUAGGCCUGGGAAACUGGGUCUAAUGCCGGAUAGGAGCCAUUUUUAGUGUGAUGGUUGGAAAGUUUUUUCGGUGUAGGAUGAGCUCGCGGCCUAUCAGCUUGUUGGUGGGGUAAUGGCCUACCAAGGCGGCGACGGGUAGCCGGCCUGAGAGGGUGGACGGCCACAUUGGGACUGAGAUACGGCCCAG